rnacentral:sRNA from 1 species
UCAACAAAAAGCGCCACACCCGAUCAAAA